rnacentral:rRNA from 1 species
GCGUCGACGCUUACCAAAGGAUAUCAAACUCCGAAUGCCAUAGAGAUGCUUAUCGGGAGUCAGACUACACGAGAUAAGUUGGGUGGUCAAAAGGGAAAGAGCCCAGACCUACAGCUAAGGUCCCAAAGUGUGUGUUAAGUGGAAAAGGAUGUGGGAUUUCAAAGACAACUAGGAUGUUGGCUCAGAAGCAGCCAUACAUUAAAAGAGUGCGUAAUAGCUCACUGGUCGAGUGACACUGCGCCGAAAAUGUACCGGGGCUAAA